GCUGACAAUCCCAGCACAUCAAUAUCUCAGUUCUAGAUAUUGUGAUUUUCCAUUCUGCUACAUGCACCACAGCGAUUGCUUAGAGUGGAUCAGAAACUAAUUUACAUCUGGCCUCAUCAAAGGAGACAAGGUCGCUCCAAAUAUGAAUAGCACCCUUAAGUGCUUAUUGCUACUCUAACGACCACCACAGAAGAUAUUGGAAGCCAGACCAAAACUUAACGGACCCUUGCAACAUGCUGCCCAACCUUCAUGUGGAUAGAC